rnacentral:lncRNA from 1 species
GAACACCCUACUGGGGUCAGAAAUGCAACCUAAGUCCCAAUAACCCAGGGCUGGAGAGCUUUUCCUCUUCCACACUCCCUUCAGAGAGACAAACUUCAUAUGUUCUCACGUAUUUGUGGCAGCUAAAAAUCAAGACAAUUGAACCUAUGGAGAUAGAGUAGAAGGAUAGUCACCAGGCACUAGGAAGUGUACUGGUAGUGGAGGGGGUGGGUGAGGUGGAGGUGGGGGUGGUUAAUGGGUACAAAAAAUAGAAUGAAUGAAUAAGAUGUAGUAUUUGGUAGCACAAUAGGGUGACUGUAGUCAAUAAUUCAAUUCUACAUUUUAAAUUAACUAUAAGA